rnacentral:misc_RNA from 1 species
UCUCCGUUGGUGAACCAGCGGAGGGAUCAUUACAGAGUUGCAAAACUCCAAACCAUUGUGAACGUUACCUAUCCCGUUGCUUCGGCGGGCGGCCCGGGCCCCGCGCCCGGCGCCCCCCGGCCCCCCGUGGGCGCCCGCCGGAGGUAAACCAAACCCUUGAAUUGCAUGGCCUCUCUGAGUCUUCUGUACUGAAUAAGUCAAUACUUUCAACAACGGAUCUCUUGGUUCUG